rnacentral:rRNA from 1 species
UACAGAGGGUGCGAGCGUUAAUCGGAAUUACUGGGCGUAAAGCGCGCGUAGGCGGCUUUUCAAGUCGAUUGUGAAAUCCCCGGGCUUAACCUGGGAACUGCAGUCGAGACUGUCUAGCUAGAGUAUGGGAGAGGGAAGUGGGAAUUUCAGGUGUAGCGGUGAAAUGCGUAGAUAUCUGAAGGAACAUCAGUGGCGAAAGCGACUUCCUGGACCAAUACUGACGCUCAUGUGCGAAAGCGUGGGGAGCAAACAGGG